rnacentral:lncRNA from 1 species
CAAAGCCGGCCCCCUCUCUAAGUCUCCUAGUCCGAGCCAUUCAUCAUUGAUCAUGCAGAGGCCUGAGACUAGAAAUCGUGCGUCAAAGUGUAAAGACCCGCCUCCCUAUGAAGACGCCGUUAAACAGAUAUGUGAAGCUUUAGCAGCCGCUCAGGGACCAACUGCUGCUAGCCAGCAUAUGGAUGAUCUGAUUGACGUGUUGAUAGAGAGCGGAGGUAAGGAAUACACCACAAUUUAUAUUCUCCUUUGUCCUCAUGCCUAAUCCAAUCCCAUCUCACAUGAGAAUGUGACACUGUCAGGAAA